AAAACAGAGGUGUUUUAAAAUCAUGGAAGGAAUUUUGAGUGCCACAUUUAAUCAACAGCAGUGUGCAUUCUUGUUGGAUUUAAAAAACAUAACUUUAUAUUCAGUCAGUGCCUUGUUUUGUAUUGUUUAGUAAGUAGCCUAUCAAUAUUCCUGUUUGUAUAUAAACAUCUGUUGGAAAUAUGAAGAAUGCUUCAUGUGUUGGCUAUUACUAUAGUCUAGAAUGACUAAUUGUGUAUAUGUAUGUUAUGGCAGUCUGCAUAAUGAAAUCAGAAACAAGCUUUUGACAAAUACUUCUGUGCAAGCUAAUGUCUUGCUAGUCCCUGUUUUUCUGACCAGAUUAUCAAUUUUUUUUACAAUACAAAUAAAUAACUGAAACUAAAAUUAAAAUAAUUCUACACUUGUUUCUAACUUGAAAAUAGAGACAACGCAGUUUGGUGGAUUUCACUUCAAGUUUUUCUUGAAGAAGCAUUUUCUUUGCUCACACACCCAGGCAAACAGAGACAGAAUAGAUGCUCUAACACUGAUCUCUGUGUCACUGCUGAUGGUUUCUUAUCAGUUAAAUGACUGAUAUCAGUGGCAGAACAGAACCUGCUCUCUACAGCAAUGUAGUUACACCUAAUACCUAAGGGAAGGAAUGCUGCUCUGCUCUACCUAAGAAAGAUGAGAUUUCCAAAAUUCAGUCUUGUUUGUCUAAGCUCUUCUCUUUCCCUUUUCUCUUGUCUCCUUCUCAUUCAAUGCAACUCUCCACAAUACAGAGUGAGACCUUAGUGUCUGCGUGUUCCUGGCAUGUCCAACACAGCAACUGCUUUCAAGAGGAGCUCGAGGAGUGUGCAGAAUCAAGAAGUUGCAAUUGCAAGUAUUAUUCAUACCCUUUCUAAUACCAGAACAAAGAAAAAGCUCUUCUGAAUCUGGAUUGCAUGAGGAGCAUAAAGGACCAUUCUGCAUGUCUGCUUUCCAGAUAGAUUGAGGUUCUACAGAGAAAAGAAUGCAGAAAUCACGUCUUAUUUAGAGCUUCUGAGUGUUCAACCCAAAUUCUGUUUCCCACUUCCAAUUUGUAGUCUAUUUUUUGAUCCUGUAGACUUAUUUCUGAGGAGCAGUAGCUCUGGAACCAAGUGUUGAAGAUCUUGCUGUGCUUGGACCAUACUGAUGAGUGCUCAGGGCUCAGAAAAUCAGCACAGAAUCUGAAGGAAGUAUCUAGCCCUGAACUGGGACUGGGAUUGAAGAUGCAGCAGCACUCUAGGUUGCCAUAUGGCCACAUGAGAAAAAGCAAGGCUGUUCCAGUAACCUGUCUCCAAACCACUUUCUCAAGCCUACCUAUGCCAACCAUGAAAUGAAGUAAGCAGCAAAGCUAGCAAUGGCUACAAAAACUGUUCUCAUUUUAUUUUCCUUUUGUGAUAAAUUAUUUUAAGGGAAGGUAGGAAAAAGAUUCUGGCAUGGUGAAAACAAUGCACUGUACUGAAGUACGUGCGCGAAUCAGUGAGGACAAACAUUCUGUUUGUAUUCUAAAUGUAUUCUAAAAUAUUUCCUGUAAUAUUGACAUGGGGUUCUUUUUUUUUUCACCCUCUGCACCAAAAUUAUGUAAAAUCAUGUAACCUGUUGCACAUGACUGCCUUCUGCCCUUGGGCUAACUCACACGCUUUCUCUUUGAACAUUAUUCAAGUUUCAUUCCCUAGAAUGUGCAUAACUUGCAGACAAGUUGAGACACAAGCUGUCCUGGCUUCAGCUCAUUAUAGGUGUGCGCACGUGUCUGUAUAUGUAAAUGUAUACGUUUAGCACAUACAUAUAUAAAAUGGUGCAAACAUCAAUGAUGGAAGGAGCAACAAGAAACUUUCCAAGAAAGGAAAGUAUCCAAAAACCAUACCUUAAUGCAGACUUCAGUCCACAGAUCAGUGCAAACCACCAAGCAUGAAAAUAAAAGAUGCUGAUUGGAUAUAUACUCUUGUUUUUCUGGCAAAACACCAAUUUGCGACAG